AUAGAUCGUGCCCGGACCGCCAUUGUUGCCAGAAAUGGGUGUGGAUUGUGGAGCGCCGAUGGCGAUCAAUGUAAGGGAUUGAGUAGAGAAGGGAGAGUUUUAUGAAUUCCGGCGUCGGAUCGCCCUCGAGGAGGAGCUGGACGCAGCCGCAGUUGGGCCUCGAGGAGGGAAUGAGUAGCCCCAUCUCGGCCUCCACUGUGGCGGUGGGUCCCGAUGAGGUGGUGGAGAUAGAGGGACCGGUUUCCGCCGCUGCUCCGCAGAGGUCGGAACCCUCGGCCGCCGUCGAUCCGGCGGAGUAUGCCUCGAUGUUGAAGGAGAAGCUUGAUCUGUAUUGCGCAGCUGUCGCCUUGUCCAGGAGUUCUAGUGCAGAUCCUCAAAGUUGUGUUUCCAUAGCUGAUACCAGUUUGCUGUCUUCAGAUUCUUUGCAAUAUCAAUCUCAGGCAUCUACAAAUGAUGAUGUUGAACUUCAUAAAGAAGCAGAAGCAUUAGAGACUCUAGAAGUUGCCCAAGUGAAACGUGUAAAAAGGAUGCUUUCAAACAGAGAAUCAGCAAGGCGUUCAAGAAGGAGAAAACAAACACAUCUAAAUGAGCUUGAGGACCAAGUUUCACAAUUAAGAGUUGAGAACUCCGUGCUUUUAAACCGUCUCACUAACAUGAAUCAGAAGUACAAUGAAGUUGUGGCUAAUCGUAAGAUACUGGAAGCAGAUGUGGAAACUUUGAUCUCCCAGGUGAAGAUGGCAGAGGACAUUGUGAAAAGGGUAACAGGAAAGUGCCCUUCCGAUCAUGCUAUUUCAACAAUCGGCACCCUGGACGUCAAAGCAAAACCCCCAUCUGAAGCAACUUCCGAUACUGUUAUUGCAAUCCCUGAUAACUCAAUUUAUUUCUACUUGGCUUCAGCUGAUGAAGAGAUAGUAAACACAUGCCUCAUGGAUAUCGCCUCUGGUCUGCCUUGCAAAGAUGCCCCCCACUGGGAUCUAGACCAGGGGAAAAUGCACCGACCUGGUUCGAUACGACGAGUGGGUAGCUUGGAGCAACUCCAGAAAAUAAUUUGCCGGGAACCAAACUCUUGCACGUCUUUACAAAUGGAUCCUGACUACCUCGUGGGACCCAACGACCUUUGAAUAACAAGCUGAACUCGAAUGUAGCUCAAUUCUGGUACUCUCGCCGUAUCGGUUGAAUUUAUUAGCUUGUCGCACAUAGUGAGCAUGGAUGCCUUGUAUGAGAUGUUCAGAUACAAAUUUUAUAACCUUGAUCUGUGAGGUAUGUGAUUUGUCCACUUGAAAUUGUAAAUUUUAAUAGUAAAAUAUCUGUGAUGGUUUAGCUUCAGUUUGAUCAAUUGAUUGGUUUUCAAUGUCAUAGAGAUGCUCACUACUUCCAGGUACAUCAUUACAAAGACCACAUAAGAUGUUCUUAACAUUCAUUCAUUUAGCUAACAAAUUCUUUUGUGUUGUCCUUUUGGUGCAAGAUUAGCCAAGUUGUGAUCUUAAACUUUGUUGUAGCAAUUUUAUUGUAUUUGCUGGCGUGUCAAAAAGAAGGCGGCUCCGCUUCCAUUCGAUUGUAUCUUGAGUACAAUGCUGUAUAUGAGCUUUGGUUAGGAUCAAUCUAACUCCCUGCAGUUCUAGUUGAAUUGACCUGAAGAACCGAGGGAGUCCUGCAUUCCGUAACAAUUCAGAUGUUCAGAUUCACAAUGAGAAAAGAGAAUGCUUAGUUUGUACUCAGUGCCAAAGAUCAAGCCAGAAUCUGAUAUCAGUACCCCCGGCAGGAAGAUACCAUGGGUUAGCUGACUCCUUCCUACUUCCAGGUAUGCGACUAUGUUUUGUUGGCGUUUGCAUCAGACCAGUGUGUGCGUUGAAAGUUACGGCAUUCGAUCGAGGUUUUCCACACCAAUUUGAUCUUGGAUCUUAAAUUUUCCAGCUAGUUGAACUUAUCAGUCUAUUCCAAGUCUGAUUUCUUCUCAUCUUGUCAAUUGCCCUGGUUACCCACUUAGGAAUCUGAGCACACUUGCUGGAUGUGGGGAGCACCAAUCUCGACCUCCUAACGAAAGAUAUCUGCGCUGCCAAACAUAACUUAUUUGCAAUUUCUUUUCGUUAUUGUGGACCGAUACCUUUGAUUUUGCUUCAUUAAACUUAAAUGAACCCCAAGGAAUGACUUAGACAACUCUUGAUAAUUG